UAGAUAAAUAAACACAUACAAUAUAUACAUUAACAUACAAUAAUAUAUUUAACUAAUGUAGACCACAAACCUUAUUUGUAAAUGUUUACUCUUAACAAGGUUGGUUGGUUAAGCAAAAGAAUGUCGAAAGUUUUUCUAAACUUUAAAAAUUAUACACUUCACAUAAUACGUAUUAGCAAGAGAUAAUGCGCAGUGUUCAACAAACUGUGAAAAAAACAGAGAAUUCUUGUGGAGAAAUGUCAACAUGGAAAUCAACAGAAGAAAAAUUCUUGAAAUUAUUCGAAAAAGUGUUGGUCACGUCCAAAGCUAUGUGAGGAAAUUCAAUGGAUAAUAAAGAGUUAAAGAUAACAUCAAAUCUCUUGAUGUCCGACAAUCCGAUCGAAAAUGCAUUUUCAAGAGGCAAAUUGAACAAUUAUGAAUGAUUUAGUAUCUAAACAGCCAGUACAAAUACAAGAACGACCUACAUAUCUGAAUAUUAUUAUGAAGUUGAAAACAUGUAUAAAGAAAUAACUGCUGAAUAUUUCCAGAGCUUCCAAAAUUUUAAAGAAGUUUAAAAAAGAAGUUCCCAAAACUACCCAUUGCCAUAAUUGGGAAUUACAAAAAUCAAAAAUUAAAAUAUUCUAUGGCGAGAUAAGGGAAUAUUUUGUAUUGUAUGAUUGUAAUAAACAGUUAUCAAGCGCAGAUGUUUUGCUACAUCAUCGUAUUUGCUUGAAUGGAGAAGCGGUGCGAUUAACAAAUAAAGGAAUUUGUUCACCACACACUCGGAUAGAAUUUUGCAUCAAACACCAUAAAUACUGCCAAUACUGAAAGCGUUAGGAGAUUACUGGAUACCACAAAAGGGUCUUAACGCAAAAGAGUCACUAGGCACACAAACCUGAAAAGUUGAUCAGUUCAUUGCUGUAGUCGUUGUUCGCAAAUUGGACAAAGAGCGCUUUAAAUUGUAUGAGCAAAUUGGACAAAGAGUGCUUUAAAUUGUUUGAGCAAACAAUAGAAGACGCUAGAGAAAUUCACAAAUUAUCGGAUUUUAAAGAUUUGCUUGAUCAAUAUUUAGAAAUGUUGGAUGAUCAAAAGUCAUAAAGCACAAGAGCUAGUGUGUGUGUACCUGUUGCAAAAUUUCCGGUCAUACAUUAAUCACAUGCAGAAAAUAUAUAUAUAAAGCAUACCAACUGAUAAUAGGCGUAAAUAUGCAAGUGACAACAAGGUCUGCUACAAGUGCCUGAAUAACUAAUGGGGAAUAUCUUGUAGCAGCAAUGUAAAGUACAAGAAAGAACAAGUCACAAAAACCACUUCACAAGCAGCAAAUCACAAAAACAUCGGAAGAAGCAGCACAGAUAUAACACUUGACAAGGAAUAAACUUUAUGGUCAAGGCGAUGCCGUAAUAGGUGAAGGAGAUCGAAAGUUCUUUUGAAAUAUAGUCAAUAUACGGAAAACGUAAAUGCCGUAGUUCCACCAGUUUUCACCAGGGCACUGCCUGAUCAAUGAUUUCAAAAUAUGGAAGAAACUAAGCAGGAUGCCGAUGGAAAAUUCAUUUAAAGAAGGCAAUGGAUGAAAACAAUUAAAUUGAGUGAGCGUGUUUUUCUGCAAAUGGUGCAACAUAUAACAAAUAUCAGGAUUUUGAAACAUCCGGUUGACUUUACUCCUUAUAUAUUAUUGAUGGUUUGUGAGGUACCUUAAUUUAACUUUUUUCUGUUAAUAAUAUGUAGUAAUGUCAAAAAUAGAUAAAAUCGGGUUAAUAUGUUACUACCCCUAUCUCCCACAUACCUAAUAAAAGAUUUCCAAACUUCUGAUUGGCUUUACACCGUA